rfam:Gonium pectorale scaffold02078, whole genome shotgun sequence.
GCGCCACUAGUCCAGUGGUGAGGAUAUUUGCCUUCCAAGCAAAAGAGCGGGGUUCGAUUCCCCGGUGGCGCA